rnacentral:rRNA from 1 species
GAUCCUGGCUCAGGAUGAACGCUAGCUACAGGCUUAACACAUGCAAGUCGAGGGGCAGCGGGAUUGAAGCUUGCUUCAAUUGCCGGCGACCGGCGCACGGGUGAGUAACGCGUAUCCAACCUUCCGUACACUCAGGGAUAGCCUUUCGAAAGAAAGAUUAAUACCUGAUGGUAUGAUGAGAUUGCAUGAUAUCAUCAUUAAAGAAUUUAUUCGGUGUACGAUGGGGAGUG